ACGGAGGUCCCAAGCGUUGUUCGGAUUUACUGGGCGUAAAGGGUGCGUAGGUGGCCAGGAAAGUUUGAUGUGAAAGCUCCGAGCUCAACUCGGAAAAUGCAUUGAAUACUACUUGGCUUGAGGAUCGGAGGGGAGACUGGAAUUCUCGGUGUAGCAGUGAAAUGCGUAGAUAUCGAGAGGAACACCAGUGGCGAAGGCGAGUCUCUGGACGAUUCCUGACACUGAGGCACGAAAGCUAGGGGAGCAAACAGG
rnacentral:rRNA from 1 species